GGAAGCCAGAAGAAAUCUCCCUUUGUGCAUCUGACUCAUCUGUGGAGGAAAAGGGAAAGACUGGAAGAAGUAACAGUGAGAGGAAGAAAAACCAUGCUUAAGUUCCUAAAGAAGCAGCUUUUGUCCCAAUCCUCCCAUGCCACAGAUCACUACCAGGAAAAGAAGAGCAACUCUCUUCAUGGCGAGAGGAACUGACUGCGAUCCUUCAGCAAAAUGACCUGAAAAAGUGGAAGUAGUAAGCACCUGGCUGCUCUCAAUUUAAAGGCUUGGUGCACAAAGAAGCCUCUUUCCAGCUUCACGUGGGAUGGAUGUAAUUUUUUAAAAAUAUUUAUUUAAAUAAUAAAUCACCCUUCAGUAGGCAUGUACCCAUAAUUUAUAGCCUGAGGAAGUGCCGAAUAAGCUGUGAACUCCCAUGAAGGUAACAAGACAAAUCUUGUAAAUGCAGUUAAAUACAGAACGAUAGUUGUAUAACUGAGAAGCACAUUCCUAUCCAGAAUGAACAUGUCAUAUUUGAUUUUUAGCAGGUCUUUUCCAUUCUCCAGCUGCUUUAUAGCUAUCUUCAAGACAGAACUUGUAAUGCCAUUUUAAAGUAAAAAAGAUAAAACUUCCAAAACAAUCUACACGGCUGCAUCUGGGUGAUUAUGUACAUGUGAAUCUAAUGAGAUUCAACAAGGCCAAACGAAAGGUGUUGCACUUGGGUUUGGGCCAUCCCAGAUAUGUCUACAGACUGGAAGAAGAACUCACUGAGAGCAGCCCUGCACAGAAGGACUUGGGAGUCUUGAUGGCCAAAAGUUGGACCUGAGGCAGCAGCGUGCACUUGCAGCCCAAGAAGGCCAACAGUAUCUUGCGCUGCAUCAACAGAAGCGUAGCCAGCAGGGAGACCGAGGGGACUGUCUCCCUCUGCUCUGCCCUCAUGAGACCCCAAGUGCAGUACUGUAUCCAGGCCUGGGGCCCG
rnacentral:lncRNA from 1 species